rnacentral:rRNA from 1 species
GUGCCAGCCGCCGCGGUAAUACGAAGGGUGCAAGCGUUACUCGGAAUUACUGGGCGUAAAGCGUGCGUAGGUGGUUCGUUAAGUCUGAUGUGAAAGCCCUGGGCUCAACCUGGGAAUUGCAUUGGAUACUGGCGGGCUAGAGUACGGUAGAGGGUAGUGGAAUUCCUGGUGUAGCAGUGAAAUGCGUAGAGAUCAGGAGGAACAUCCGUGGCGAAGGCGACUACCUGGACCAGUACUGACACUGAGGCACGAAAGCGUGGGAGCAAACAGGAUUAGAUACCCUGGUAGUCCACGCCCUAACGAUGCGAACUGGAUGUUGGGUUCAACUAGGAACUCAGUAUCGAAGCUAACGCGUUAAGUUCGCCGCCUGGGAGUACGGUCGCAAGACUGAAACUCGAAAGGAAGUUCGACGGGG